GACGUCCUAGGAUCGCGUCUGGAGAGUGUUCUGCCAGCUUUGGAAAGAGGAGGGAGAGCAGCCCAGCAGGGCACCCCUUCCAUUCCCAGCUUGCCCGGUAGCUGGUGACUGGGUGACGCUCAGCAGCAGCC
rnacentral:snoRNA from 1 species